CAGCCGCGGAGUAACACAGGAUCCCGACGUCCCUUAGGCGCCGGCUGCUGAACUACAAAUCCCAGCUGCCCACGCGCUUGCCGGGCUGGCUCCGGCUCUAGCUGGCGGCUGCUUCUGAGGAGGCUGGUUCCUAUUUUAAAUCCAGUCAAGAGAUAAAAUGGCGGACGCGAGCUGAGCGUGAGGCGGGGAGGAGAGAGCGAGAGCGAGAGGGAGAGGGAGAGGGAGAGGGGGGCGCUGGGCAGAAGGCAACGCUCGGCUCUCCUUCUCCUUUUUCUCUCCGCCCCCCUCCCCUCACAAAUCCUCCGAAAGUGUUUUAAACAUAUGCUUAUGUCCUGGAGGGCAAGACUUUCUGUGGUAACACGUCACUGAUGAAAUGAAGCAGUUGUGGAACCAGUCCAGAAAUGAAGAAGUCACCCAGACCUUUUUGUUGGAUUGCCAAAGCACAGGAAGCAGAUUCUUGAUUUAGGGUAUGGGGUUUUUUGAGACCUGUUUAGGAAACCUAGCUUUAUUAAGUUUCAAAUUCAUAAGAUUAUUGUUCUAGCCAAAAGUCAUGACAGUCUUGUAGGAAUAGCAUUAAUAAAAUACAGAACAUCCGUCCAUAAAUAAGCCAACAUCCACAUUGAAAAAGAGAGAAGCUAUCAGAGAACUAAUUAGCUUAAAUCCAGCUUGAUUUCAGAUUAAAUCACCAAAACAACUUAGAGGCUUUAUCUAACUCAGGCUUCCCCAACCUCGGCCCUCCAGAUAUUUUUGGUCUAUAACUCCCAUGAUCCCUAGCUAGCAGGACCAGUGGUCAGGGAUACUGGGAACUGUAGUCUCAAAACAUCUGGAGGGCCGAGGUUGAGGAAGCCUGAUCUAACUCAUCUAAUUCUCUUCUGUAGUUGCAAAUAAUUUGAUUUAAAAGUUCCUCAUAACUGGAAAUGAAUUUGUACUACAUGUAUUAGAGGAUUUAAGUUUGAUGUUAGAGAACAAAAUACUAUAUAAGGCAAACCAUUCUAAAAUGUGAGGUUAUAUUAUACCAGUAUAUUGAAUAGGAGCUCAGAAGAGGGUUUCCAUUCCACUCAAAAGUACAGAAGGGCAAGGACAGUAGGGACAUGAGAGGGAAUACAUGCCCAGGAGCAUUGUCUACAAGCAGCAUCUUUUUAAGCUGCAAAUGUUUCUCCUCAAGGUAACACGUCACUGAUGAAAUGAAGCAGUUGUGGAACCAGUCCAGAAAUGAAGAAGUCACCCAGACCUUUUUGUUGGAUUGCCAAAGCACAGGAAGCAGAUUCUUGAUUUAGGGUAUGGGGUUUUUUGAGACCUGUUUAGGAAACCUAGCUUUAUUAAGUUUCAAAUUCAUAAGAUUAUUGUUCUAGCCAAAAGUCAUGACAGUCUUGUAGGAAUAGCAUUAAUAAAAUACAGAACAUCCGUCCAUAAAUAAGCCAACAUCCACAUUGAAAAAGAGAGAAGCUAUCAGAGAACUAAUUAGCUUAAAUCCAGCUUGAUUUCAGAUUAAAUCACCAAAACAACUUAGAGGCUUUAUCUAACUCAGGCUUCCCCAACCUCGGCCCUCCAGAUAUUUUUGGUCUAUAACUCCCAUGAUCCCUAGCUAGCAGGACCAGUGGUCAGGGAUACUGGGAACUGUAGUCUCAAAACAUCUGGAGGGCCGAGGUUGAGGAAGCCUGAUCUAACUCCUUUCCCCCAAUUAUUUAUUUAUAUAUUUAUAUUAUUUGAGCUAGUGAAUAGGGGGCACUCUGUGUGUUAUGAAGCUAAAGGUGUCUAAAAAGAAACCAAACCAAUUUAUUAAGUGUUGCCAUAUUGCCACAGAGCAGCAGUCACUCUAUCCAGGGGUUCUUUUUUCAGCUUUGACAAAGCAAGUCCACUCAGGCAUUUUCUUCCAGAAAAGCCCUGUCUUGUCUGUGUUGAAGAUUUGCUCUGGAAGGUAUUCCUUGUCGUCCAGUAACUGUUUUAGUUGCACAAGGUAUGUUUUUGCAGCCUCUUAGUCUUGCAGAUGCAGCCUCUCCUGUCGUUCAGAUAUUCUUCAGGUUGAAGCAGAUUUUAAAACUGUUAAGCCAACUUGGGUUGGCUUUAAAUUCCUUGGUAGCCCUCUCCCCAUUUGUGGUGGAAGGUUUGAAGUGCUCAUAUAUAGGCUUGGAGCCUUUUGAUGCAAGAUGCUGCCAUCCAUAGGAGCACGUUUCCAGUUCAUGCCUUCGAGCCACAAGUUCAUUGCUUUCUCCCAUAUUCACCAAAGCCUUGUCUUGCACCUGGCUGGUCACCUUUGCAGUCAGUGGUGUGCUUGCUGCCACAGCCUCACAGAUCUCGUUCUCAUGCACAUUGAUGGCAUGGAUGCUGGACUAAUUGCAGCCAAAUCUGAGUGCUACAGUACACAUAAAUAUGCCAUCUCUGAAGCAGUCCAGUAGAGCCAACUUCUCUUCCAGUGUGGGAUCCACCCUCUGCUUCUUGGGUUUCCCAUCAGCUGAUGAUGGUAAUGCCUUGUGUUUUGGGGCCAUUUUGUGGUCUGAAGCUCUCCAAACACCUCCACAAAUCUCUGUGGUCUCCUCCAGUCACCCUCUUCAUCUGCCUCUUCCACAUCUAAACACUUUCAUGAAGACUGCUGGGAUUGCUGGCCAUUUUUUAUGCUCUCUCACCCUCUCCGCUCCCUACCCCACCCCAUGCACCAUUUUCUUAUUUUUUCAUUGUGUGUGCAACUUUUCAUCAUUUUUUUUUAAAAAAAACAUUUUUCUGCAACAUGUGUAAAGCUAUGAGCACAUAUUUUAAAUAAGUGUAAGAUGCAAGUUACCUUUAUUUGUAUUCUAUUUGUGUUCUACAACGAGCACCAGUUGUUCGGCUCUUCUGUUAUAUUUUAAUAGCUAAGCUUUGUACAGGAUUCACUACAUCUUGGAAACAGUAUCAGGUAUUUAUAUAUCAUAGGUAUCUAUUAUUGGAUUAUUCUGUGGCCAGCUGGCUAUUAAUUUUAUUGAACCAGAACCUGAUGGGAUGUUGCCUACAGGUUUACUGUUAGCUGUCUGUCUGCCACUGCAGAAAUGAAUUAUGCAUUCACAUAUGAUGAUUCUUGACUGAAUAACAUGAACUGCUGACUAAUAAUAAACCAGUAGGCAAAUGAAAAUGUCAGACUGUAUCAUUACUUCCAACUCAUGAUUUGGAGACAGUCUGGAAACUGAAGGCUCUCCUACUUAUUGGCAAACUGUUGUGGGGAAGAGGGGGGGGGAAGUGUAUAAUGGCUGCUGUGGGUGGAAGAAUUCUAAGCAUUAGUAAAACUCAGGUGUCUUAUAAUGGUUUGCUGUCCAGGCUAUUAUAAGGGACCUCAGUCCACUCCUGAGUCUCACCCAUUUUAAUACUUAGAAUACUAUUGAAUACAAUAAAUUCUUCCUUUAAUUGUAUCAGUCAAGAUAAAUUAGAUAGGUGGCUGAAAUUUAGGCUAUUUAAAGUCAUAUAUGUAAAAUGAAAUAAAUUACAGUUUUACAAUAAGCAGUUCUGAUAAGCUACUGUAAAAAAGGAAUUAGUACAUUUUGACCUAUUGAUAUGGAUACAAAAUGUACAUUUUGUUAUAGCAACCAUGAGUGCUUUGCUGGGUGUGAUGCUCAUAAUACUCAAAUCCCCAAUUGAACAGCAUCCUGAAAGCUACUAGUGAGGCUCUCUUGUUUCUAUGUAAGCCUGGGAAGAUAGGAACAACCAAACAAAAAAUACCUCCUGUCUGCAACUUGCUAAAAAGCAAGAACGAGAAAGCCCUCUCAUGAGUGUGUGUCUUGUAUUCUACCUCUUUUACAAAGGGAAGAAAGGCAAAUACAAGGGAAGAGAUGAAGAGGUAAGAUAUGUGGGGUAUAACAAUAUAGGACUCUGGCCUCAUGCUGUGCCCUGUGUGAAGGUCUCACUCUGCCCCUCACAUUUUAAGAAACACAUGUAGAGAAUCUUGCUUGAAAGCCCCCAAAACUUAAGGUAACUUCAGGAAAUAUUUUGGCUAUAAAAAGCCAAAAUUCAUCGUACAGAGGAAGGAAAGGAAGACUACACCCACUUGAUAUUGCUACUUGGGAAAUUAGAAAUAGAAGAUUUUAUUUUAGGGGAUUUUCUAAUUUAUGCAAAUACUGAAUCUUGUAGGUCUUUGCAAUACUUUCCAGCUGCUAACACUAUAUACAGUUGUACCUUGGUUCUCGAACGGAAUCCAUUCUGGAAGUCCGUUCAACUUCCGAAAAUGUUCACAAACCCAAUCACGGCUUCUGAUUGGCUGCAGGAAGCUCCUGCAGCCAAUCGGAAGCCAUGGAAGCCCUGUUGGACAUUUGGGUUCCAAAAAACAUUUGCAAACCGGAACACUCACUUCCAGGUUUGUGGCAUUUGGGAGGCAAGACAUUUGAGUUGCAAGGCAUUUGCAAACCAAGGUACAACUGUAUAUCUCUUUGCAGGUAUUCAGCUCCUAAGCAUUGCAGGAUUAAACUGGUGGACCAGGUGCAUGGAAAGAUUAAUGAAACAUAUGUUUACAGGAUGUAAUGAGCUUUUUAUAAUUGUUUGCACAAUUAUAUUUAUUUUUAAAAUACCUAAUCAUAAUAAAAAUAGGAUUUUUUUUUACUGAAGUACCUUUUUAAAAUUAUAAUCUUAAAAAUGCUUGCUUAAUGCUGUUAUUCAGGGCUGCUAAUCAUAAGUGCCCAAGCUGCACAUUUUUGCAAAGUUCAAAGAUAUUAUCACAUACCAUGGUUUAAGUUUCCUGCUUUCAGUAACACUAGAUGGAAGGUUUAUCACUAGAACAUGUUCAUGUAUUUCUUGGAAUAGUUUUUCAAAAGCUAACUUUUUCAAAACUUGUUGAUGACUAAAUAAAAAUCAUGUGGGGAAGGGAGAGCUGCUGACUUGUUUAGUUCUGCAGUGAUAUUUCAGCUGCUGUCUUGGCAGGCAGAGAGACUUUUGCUGUUGUGGGUGAAGCAAUUGGCUGGGACAGAGACUUUGACCAAACUGCAGGGGCCCUGUUGCAUGGGUGUAAGCCACACUACCACAGUCACUGUCUUUGGAUACAGCCACGCCAUACAGUUAAAGCAUAUGACUUCCCCCAAAGAAUUCUGAGAACUACAGUUUGUUAUGAGUGCUGAGAAUUGUAGCUAUGUGAGGGGUAGACUUUCAGGGUUCUUUGGGAGAAACAUGUAAUUUAGCUCUAUGGGGUGGAUGUCCUCCUGUUCCUUGCUCUCUGCCCCCCCCCCCACGUACAACUUCACAUAUGUAUUCAUAUUGUUGUCACAUCAUUUAUGUCCUGCACAGUAUUGAAGUAAGAGCAUGUGGGUUUUGUAGCAGUAAGUAAUCUACUCUUAAAGGAACUAAACUACCAGCACUGAACAGAAGUCAGCAGUACAGUAGCUGGUGGAAAUCAGGUAUUACUUUUAAGUGAAGUGAGCUGGUUGGUUGAAUCUUUAGUUGAGACUGAAUUGCCAUCAACUCUGGAGGUGGAAAUGGCUUCAGCAACCACAGGAGCCUCUUUAUGAACUUGCUGAACAUGUGUUGAAGAGUCCAUUUCCCUAGGGAGCCUGGAUGAUUGAUUGAGCUGGGCAGCAUUAUGGAAUUAUUAGGCCCUAAGUAUGAGGGCUGUACAAAGAUAAAGCUUUUUCUGAGAAAGCGGAGAAGAACCAACGUAUUAUGAGGUGUUCACUUUUUUUAUAAAGCUUAAUGGGGAAAAGGUGAGCUUCCUGGACUAUGCAGCUAGGGAAACACGAAUAACCUUCCCUUUGCAGCUACAAUCUCCAGGAAGAUCACUGCCCCACCCUUCAACAAGAGAAAACUCUUUCCAAGUCUAAUUGCAGCAGCAGAGGGGAAAUCUUGGGAGUGCUGUCUAGCUGGGAAGGGAGUGGUAACCCUUACCUUCCAAGCUGCAACUGCCCACUAUCUCCCCACCUCCAUUGUAAUAAGGCUUUCUAUUGUAGCCAGCAAAAGGCUUAUCUGAAGCCUAAUCAUGGUGCUGGCUCUCUGCAGCUGUGAAACAUCACCUACCAAAAAAAUGUCCCUUUGCACUGCAAGUAAACUUGGGAAAAGGCAUUCUUUGGUCCACAGCAGAAGUCUCCUUUCAACCCUAAUUUUAGUGGGGGAAGGACCAUGGGGGCGGGGGGGGGGGGAGAUGUAGAAGGUCUCAAGAAAGACCUUUGCGGGUACAGCAUAGCAAUCAGUAAGUUAUGCCAUUAUAUCACUUGGGGUCUCCCCCACCCUGAAUCUUUCUGGAAUCCUUGAGCUUCCUGACAACAAUAGUAGUGUUGCCAUUGUGAAGUUUGGGAAAAAAUGGUCAGCUUUAAAAAGCUUACUUGCUUGAAACAGAUUUAUGUUUAAUUUUUUUAAAAUAAUCCAAACUAAAAUGGAAAACACACACCUCUGAAUGAGAUCAGUUGAAGAAUCUGUGGCUAUACUAGUACAACAGGCUAUACUAGUACAACAUUGUUCUGAGAUUAAUGAGUCAGAAUGUGCUCUUUUAAAACCUGAUUCACUUAUUAAAAAUGUAAGAAGACAAAAGAGGAGGUUCAUGCAAAUUGCAGUGCCUUAGUUAUACUAAAAACGUCAUACAGUACUUAGAAGAUCUGCAAAUUUUUCUGGGGCACUUUUAAAUAUUUCCUUUGGGAUGUGAAUGGAAAUGCCAAACUAAGCUGAUAUUCUGACAGGAAAAGUCUUUUUUGUUUUGUUUUUAUGAUACAAGUUGUGUGUUUUUAAUUAAUUGUAUGUCCUGUUUUCAUCAAGACCUUGAGUGAUCCCAGUUUCUGAAAGUGUUAGAAUGAUGUGUUCUGUCUUAAGGAUGAAAGGGAUAGUUAUUGCAGAAAGGAAAUGACAUACUGCUGCUCUGAAACUGUAUACCAGAGGUGUGUGUUUGGAACAUCUCCCUUUUAAGGGGAAAUAUUUUCUUGGCUGGUCAGUUAAUAGAUAAAUGCUCUUAUAUCUGCAUCAGCUAGUUGUGAAAAACUGUCAGGAAUAAUGCUUUGCAAGAACUAAUGUCAUUUGGAAAGGCAGUGUAGCUGUGAAAAUAAUCAAAUUUUCAUAAGGCAGCUUUUAUUAUAUUACUUAGCAUAUUGCAUUAUCAGUGUUUGCAGUGUGCAGCUUUUGCCAUAGUGCAUGUGUUAAAUGUACAAAGCAAUUGUAUGCCAAAUUUGUUAAAAAUGUAGAUAAGUCAUUGUGUGCCUUGUUUUUUUAGUUGUAAAAGCUGUAAUUGAAAUAUUAGAAUAUUUCUCAGAUUCAUGUGGCCACAUUAAAUUAAACCUUAGCUUUAAUAGUUUUAACAUUCAAAGGCAAGGGAAAUAAGAAAAAUGGCAGUAUCAAAAUAAAUUAUUCCACAUGCUUGUUUUCACUUCUUUUAGUCCCUCCUCAUUACCCCUCCCCCUCACGACUAACUACUUUGUUGGACAAAAUCCUGCCCUCCCAUCACACCAUUCACCCUUAAUUCCAAUAUUGCAAUAGUUCAAUGUGGGAAUAUUACAGCAAAAUUACCCUCUCAAAACACUCCUUUCUUCUUGAAAGCCUUGAGUAAGGUAUGCUCCCAAUUACCAAUCAGUUGAUGGGUGGGAACACACCUUCAAAUGCUCCCCAUUUCUUCAAACUACAGUGGUUUGAAGGAAUUGAAGAUGUACUCAAUCAAAGAAAAAACUGGGAGCUUUAAGCUCCUGAUUGUUCCUUUGAAGUCCCAUCCUUACUUGCCCUAUCACUGGACAACAGCUAAUAUUUUAUCUCAAGUAUAUCUUAAAUUUAAGUUAACACUUCUCUUAACAUGUAUAGUGUGACCUGCUCAUUUUUAACUACAAGUGACAGGGUUAUAAAGUCAAUAAUCAGUUUUUACACUUUCCUAGAUACAGUUACCUUAAUUUCAUUGAGUAAAUUGAUAAAAUAAUUGGUUUUAAAAACACCGUUUAAAACUCCUUUAAAAAGCUCGUUAAAACAUGGUUAUAAAAUUGUGUUUUCCAUGAAGCUCUGCGGCCAGCUGCCUCACCUAUCGCUGUGUUUCGUCUACUCUAGCCAAUUUCUUUGUGUAAAUUUAUGUUGUACUUUGUUGUUUUCAAGCUGUUUUUAAGUCUUUUUUAAUCAAUGUUUUAUAUUUGU